UCACCUCCUUUCUAGCUGAGUUUGAUCCUGGCUCAGGCUGGAUCACCUCCUUUCUAGCUGAGUUUGAUCCUGGCUCAGGACGAACGCUGGCGGCGUGCUUAACACAUGCAAGUCGAACGAUGAACCUCUUCGGAGGGGAUUAGUGGCGAACGGGUGAGUAACACGUGGGCAAUCUGCCCUGCACUCUGGGACAAGCCCUGGAAACGGGGUCUAAUACCGGAUAUGACGUGCGACCGCAUGGUCUGUACGUGGAAAGCUCCGGCGGUGCAGGAUGAGCCCGCGGCCUAUCAGCUUGUUGGUGGGGUGAUGGCCUACCAAGGCGACGACGGGUAGCCGGCCUGAGAGGGCGACCGGCCACACUGGGACUGAGACACGGCCCAGACUCCUACGGGAGGCAGCAGUGGGGAAUAUUGCACAAUGGGCGAAAGCCUGAUGCAGCGACGCCGCGUGAGGGAUGACGGCCUUCGGGUUGUAAACCUCUUUCAGCAGGGAAGAAGCGAAAGUGACGGUACCUGCAGAAGAAGCACCGGCUAACUAC
rnacentral:rRNA from 1 species